rnacentral:rRNA from 1 species
GACGAACGCUGGCGGCGUGCUUAACACAUGCAAGUCGAACGGAAAGGCCCUGCUUUUGUGGGGUGCUCGAGUGGCGAACGGGUGAGUAACACGUGAGUAACCCGCCCUUGUCUUUGGGAUAACUUCAGGAAACUGGGGCUAAUACCGGAUAGGAGCUCUUGCUGCAUGGUGGGGGUUGGAAAGUUUCGGCGGUGGGGGAUGGACUCGCGGCUUAUCAGCUUGUUGGUGGGGUAGUGGCUUACCAAGGUUUUGACGGCUAGCCGGCCUGGGAGGGUGACCGGCCACAUUGGGACUGAGGUAGGGCCCAGACGCCUACGGGAGGCAGCGGUGGGGAAUAUUGCACAAUGGGCGGAAGCCUGAGGCAGCGACGCCGCGUGCGGGAUGACCGCCUUCGGGGUGGAAACCGCUUUCGCCUGUGACGAAGCGUGAGUGACGGUAAUGGGUAAGAAAGCACCGGCUAACUACGUG